GACGAACGCUGGCGGCGUGCCUAACACAUGCAAGUCGAGCGAUUCUCUUCGGAGAAGAGCGGCGGACGGGUGAGUAACGCGUGGGUAACCUGCCCUGUACACACGGAUAACAUACCGAAAGGUAUGCUAAUACGAGAUAAUAUGCUUUUAUCGCAUGGUAGAAGUAUCAAAGCUUUUGCGGUACAGGAUGGACCCGCGUCUGAUUAGCUAGUUGGUAAGGUAACGGCUUACCAAGGCGACGAUCAGUAGCCGACCUGAGAGGGUGAUCGGCCACAUUGGAACUGAGACACGGUCCAAACUCCUACGGGAGGCAGCAGUGGGGAAUAUUGCACAAUGGGCGAAAGCCUGAUGCAGCAACGCCGCGUGAGCGAUGAAGGCCUUCGGGUCGUAAAGCUCUGUCCUCAAGGAAGAUAAUGACGGUACUUGAGGAGGAAGCCCCGGCUAACUACGUGCCAGCAGCCGCGGUAAAAC
rnacentral:rRNA from 1 species